ACUACUUUGUGUCCACACAUCUUUAUUUAAGGUGUUUUUCACGUAUAAAUAGAUGGGCAACCAAAGUCCAUUUGCCUCAUCAGUUCAAAAUUAUCUAAAGAUGUUUCCUUCUCCAAAGGUCCGCUUUGUAUUGUUUGUUGUGCUCUUACUUUUACUUCAUUCUAUUCCAUUCAUGAUAGCGGCCAGAGUCUCUGAAAUAUUCGGACGCAGGUCAAGAUUAAUUGCAGUAGGAGGAACUCAGUCACACCGUUGUGGAAGUGAUUGCGGGGGAGAUCCUUAAUUGGACUAAACGGAAGUGGGUCAUCUGGAUAUUGUUUCAGUUGCCCGCGAGGUUCUGCGGUGACAAAAAUGUAUAAGAAAUUAUUGUCAUACAAUACUCUAUGCAAUAAGGUUUCCCAUUUUAAUUAGUUAAAAA